rnacentral:misc_RNA from 1 species
GAUGAAGAACGUAGCAAAAUGCGAUACUUGGUGUGAAUUGCAGAAUCCCGUGAACCAUCAAGUUUUUGAACGCAAGUUGCGCCCGAAGCCUUUUGGCCGAGGGCACGUCUGCCUGGGCGUCACGCAUCGCGUCGCCCCCCACAAUUCUCCGUAAAAGGAACAUGUGUUUUGGGGGCGGAUAUUGGUCUCCCGUGCUCAUGGCGUGGUUGGCCGAAAUAGGAGUCCUUUCGAUGGACGCACGAACUAGUGGUGGUCGUAAAAACCCUCGUCUUUUGUUUCGUGCUGUUGCUCGCAAGGUAAACUCUUUAAAAACCCCAAUGUGUCGUCUCUUGACGACGCUUCGACCGCGACCCCAGGUCAGGCGGGACUACCCGCUGAGUUUAAGCAUAUCAAUAAGCGGAGGA